rnacentral:rRNA from 1 species
CCUACGGGAGGCAGCAGCUAAGAAUAUUCCGCAAUGGGGGGAACCCUGACGGAGCGACGCCGCGUGGACGAUGAAGGCCGGAAGGUUGUAAAGUCCUUUUGUCCGCGAGGAAUAAUAUUGGGAGGAAAUACCUGAUAGGUGACGGUAGCGGAUGAAUAAGCACCGGCUAAUUACGUGCCAGCAGCCGCGGUAAU